AUUGAACGCUGGCGGCAGGCUUAACACAUGCAAGUCGAGCGGAGAUGAGGUGCUUGCACCUUAUCUUAGCGGCGGACGGGUGAGUAAUGCUUAGGAAUCUGCCAUUUAGUGGGGGACAACAUUCCGAAAGGAAUGCUAAUACGGCAUACGUCCUACGGGGGAAGGCAGGGGAUCUUCGGACCUUGCGCUAAAGGAUGCGCCUAAGUCGGCUUAGCUAGUUGGUGGGGUAAAGGCCUACCAAGGCGACGAUCUGUAGCGGGUCUGAGAGGAUAAUCCGCCACACUGGGACUGAGACACGGCCCAGACUCCUACGGGAGGCAGCAGUGGGGAAAAUUGGACAAUGGGCGGAAGCCUGAUCCAGCCAUGCCGCGUGUGUGAAGAAGGCCUUUUGGUUGUAAAGCACUUUAAGCGAGGAGGAGGCUACUAGUACUAAUACUACUGGAUAUUGGACGUGACUCGCAGAAUGAGCACCGGCUAACUCUGUGCCAGCCGCCGCGGUAAGAC
rnacentral:rRNA from 1 species